CCCGGCACGUGCGGACCGGAGGGCCGGCUGCCCAGCGCGCGGAGAGCCCCGCUCUGCCGACCGGCGCCCCUCCCAGUCUUAGCGCCCCUCAUUUGGGCAGGACGCUGUUCCCGGUGACCUGGGGGACGCCGCGGACGCCACAGGGGCCUUACCCAAGACAACGCCGUAUGGAACCCCCUGUGGGCAGCGCGGAAAGGAUAGCAGGGCGGAAGUGACGUCUUUAUAUACUCCGCUGUGAGCCAAUGCCAUUUCGUCCUUCUAACCGUGGUCAACACCCAGAAGAUGGCUUCGGUCUGAGAGUACAGAGAGUACAGAAGCAGGCGAGCGUCUGGGCCAUACAGACAGGAAGCAGCUGAGCUCCACCUCCUGGAGGCUGGGUGGGGACGCGAGAAGCUACCCUUUCCAGAGGCUGAGAAAUAUUAAAAAAAAAAAAAAAAAAACGGCCCCAAAUCCAGAACGCGGCAGAGCGAGCACCUGCACCGACAUCUUUCUCAAGUGAGAGGCAGAGGCUUGGGGAGGCAAAUCACCCCUGAAUGAGAACCACAGAUUUAAGGUAACACAACUAGUAAGAUGAGGAUUCCAACUUGGCCGUCUAGACCCACAGCCUGCACUCACGGUCCUUCUGCUGUGCUGGUCCUUGGCAUCUGUUAUGGAUUGUGUCUCCCCAGAAUAUGUGUUGUAAGUCCUAACUCCUGUACCUGUGGUGAUAGUCCCAUCUGGAAAUGGGUUUUGUCAUUUUAAUGAGACAGUAUUAGUGCAGGGUAUGUCUUAAGUCAUUCUCUUUUGAGAUAUAUAAGAGAUUAAACAAGGAAGUGGGCAGCAGAGAUGCGGGAAGAGAGAUGCCAUGCCACAUUAAGGUCACCAAGGUGCCAACGAAUAGAAGCUGAAAGAGACAAGGGCCUUCCCCCAGAGCUGAGAGAGAAAGAAAGCCUCCCCCUGGAGCCAGCACCCUGAAUUCAGACUUCUGGCCUCCUAACUGUAAGAAAAUAAAUCUCCGUAUGUUAAAGCCAUCCACUGGUGGCAUUUUUGUUAGAGCAGCUCUAGGUAACUGAGAUAGCCUCCUUCUGUAAGAGCUUUCUUAUGUUAUUGCUCCAAAAUAAGCAUAGAUCUGGGCCAUGACUCAGCAGACUCAGAAAGAUCAAAAUGGAGUGCCUGCCCACCACCACCAUCCUUUGGCCAUAUUUUUUUAUCUGGUUAGUACUGUAAAAUGCAGCUCUUCCCUGGGCUCUCAGCCUUGCCUCUCCUGAAUCUAUGCACUGUUCCAGGUAAAUCCUAUUGGGACUUUUCAAAGUCUUUGGGUUUCAGUGCUGCCAGGAAUCCUCCUGGCCUGGCCUCCAAGCUGUUUCUUGGUCUUCCCUGCUCCCAGAUGCUCUUGGCCUGGCCCCCCUUGCCCAGGGUGCUGUCUUCAGUUCCCUUCCCCUCUUCACCUAUACAGCACUAGCCAAGGCCAGACCCCCAGAUGCCCCUGCAUGACUGACGGGGAGCUGGAGUGUCAUCAAAGCGUCCACAUCAGACAGGUAAGCUGGCUAAGAAUUUCACCAGGCUCUUAACAGAACAUACAUGUCACUGUUCAGCAGGUCCU